GAUAUGUAAUGUGAAUUGCAGAAUUCAGUGAAUCAUCGAAUCUUUGAACGCACCUUGCGCCCUUUGGUAUUCCGAAGGCAUGCCUGUUUGAGUGUCAU
rnacentral:rRNA from 1 species